CCUAGAGUUGUAGGCUUUGCCUGCUAUCUCUUACCAUGUCUUUUGAGUACCUUCGUUUCCCUCGGCGGGUCCGCCCGCCGAUUGGACAAUUUUAAACCAUCUGCAGUUGCAAUCAGCGUCUGAAAAAACUUAAUAGUUA
rnacentral:misc_RNA from 1 species